UAGUCCACGCCGUAAACGAUGGAUACUAGGUGUUCGGUCGAUUGAGACUGAGUGCCCAAGCGAAAGCGAUAAGUAUCCCACCUGGGGAGUACGUCCGCAAGGAUGAAACUCAAAGGAAUUGACGGGGGCCCGCACAAGCGGUGGAGCAUGUGGUUUAAUUCGAUGGUACGCGAGGAACCUUACCUGGGCUAGAAUGCGCGUGACGAUUCCUGAAAGGGAGUUUUCUUCGGACACAAAGCAAGGUGCUGCAUGGUUGUCGUCAGCUCGUGCCGUGAGGUGUUGGGUUAAGUCCCGCAACGAGCGCAACCCCUAUCAUUAGUUGCCAGCACAUUAUGGUGGGGACUCUAAUGAGACUGCCUGCGCAAGCAGUGAGGAAGGUGGGGGAUGACGUCAAAUCAUCAUGGGCCCUUACGCCCAGGGGCUACACACGUGCUACAAUGGACGGUACAGAGGGGUUGCGAGCCUGCGAAGGGCAAGGCUAA
rnacentral:rRNA from 1 species